CCUACGGGAGGCAGCAGUAGGGAAUAUUGGGCAAUGGAGGCAACUCUGACCCAGCCAUGCCGCGUGCAGGAUGAAGGCGUUAUGCGUUGUAAACUGCUUUUAUAUAGGAAGAAAGAGUUCUUGCGAGAACAGUUGACGGUACUAUAUGAAUAAGCACCGGCUAACUCCGUGCCAGCAGCCGCGGUAAUACGGAGGGUGCAAGCGUUGUCCGGAUUUAUUGGGUUUAAAGGGUGCGUAGGCGGUUUAUUAAGUCAGUGGUGAAAGACGGUCGCUCAACGAUUGCAGUGCCGUUGAUACUGGUAGACUUGAGUGAGAUUGAGGUAGCUGGAAUGGAUAGUGUAGCGGUGAAAUGCAUAGAUAUUAUCCAGAACACCAAUUGCGUAGGCAAGUUACUAAGUCUCAACUGACGCUGAGGCACGAAAGUGUGGGUAUCAAACAGGAUUAGAUACCCUGGUAGUCCACACUGUAAACGAUGAUAACUAACUGUUGGCUUUCGGGUCAGUGGUACAGAGAAAUCGUUAAGUUAUCCACCUGGGGAGUACGCCGGCAACGGUGAAACUCAAAUGAAAUUGACGG
rnacentral:rRNA from 1 species